UACGGAGGGCGCGAGCGUUACCCGGAUUUACUGGGCGUAAAGGGCGUGUAGGCGGCUUGGGGCGUCCCAUGUGAAAGGCCACGGCUCAACCGUGGAGGAGCGUGGGAUACGCUCAGGCUAGACGGUGGGAGAGGGUGGUGGAAGUCCCGGAGUAGCGGUGAAAUGCGCAGAUACCGGGAGGAACGCCGAUGGCGAAGGCAGCCACCUGGAUCACUGGUGACGCUGAGGCGCGAAAGCGUGGGGAGCAAACCGG
rnacentral:rRNA from 1 species